rnacentral:lncRNA from 1 species
UUUUUCAGAGAGCCAAUGAUGAGUACUGGGAGCCUGGUGAGGACCGUUUUAUCAAGAACCGUUACGAAGUUCCUGCGAAACUAUACGAGCAGCUGUUUGGUCCCAACAGUCCACAGACGUUAGAAGAUCUAGGUGAGAUACCGGACGCAGAGACGAGGUAUAAGCAGUACAAAGAGGAGCAUAAGAAUGAUCCACCAAGUAAUCUACCACCGUGCGACAUCAUUGAUGACGGUCGAGGCAAGCCAUAUGAUAUCUAUAACGUCGUGACAUCUCCGGAAUGGACUAAGAAGUUUUAUGAGAAAUCACCUCCGAUUCCAUAUUGGUUAGAGACGCGUAAAGGAAGGAAGGCGUGGUUGGAAAAGUACAUUCCUGGGUUCAUUAUCCUUGAAGAUAAGUUAAGAGAAGGCGAGGAGCCAGAGGAACUAUACUUCCAGCAGUACAACUACGUCGAUGACUAUGAUAAAGGCGACAGCGGUGUAACAGCGGAAGAGGUUUUUCAGAGAGCCAAUGAUGAGUACUGGGAGCCUGGUGAGGACCGUUUUAUCAAGAACCGUUACGAAGUUCCUGCGAAACUAUACGAGCAGCUGUUUGGUCCCAACAGUCCACAGACGUUAGAAGAUCUAGGUGAGAUACCGGACGCAGAGACGAGGUAUAAGCAGUACAAAGAGGAGCAUAAGAAUGAUCCACCAAGUAAUCUACCACCGUGCGACAUCAUUGAUGACGGUCGAGGCAAGCCAUAUGAUAUCUAUAACGUCGUGACAUCUCCGGAAUGGACAAAGAAGUUUUAUGAGAAGUCACCUCCGAUUCCGUAUUGGUUAGAGACGCGUAAAGGAAGGAAGGCGUGGUUGGAAAAGUACUUUCCUGCUGUUCCACAUGGAAGCAAGUAUAGAUUGUAUUUCAACACUCCUGAUGGU